GACGAACGCUGGCGGCGUGCCUAACACAUGCAAGUCGAACGGAGAUAGUUAAUGAAGCUUGCGGUUUAGCUAUCUUAGUGGCGAACGGGUGAGUAACGCGUGGGUAACCUGCCCUUAAGACCGGGACAACAGCUGGAAACGGCUGCUAAUACCGGAUGUAUUGUCCGAGAGGCAUCUCUUGGAGAAGAAAGCUGGCCUCUGAAAAUGCUAGCGCUUAGGGAUGGACCCGCGUCUGAUUAGCUAGUUGGUGGGGUAGCGGCCUACCAAGGCGACGAUCAGUAGCCGGCCUGAGAGGGUAAACGGCCACACUGGGACUGAGACACGGCCCAGACUCCUACGGGAGGCAGCAGUGGGGAAUCUUCCGCAAUGGACGAAAGUCUGACGGAGCAACGCCGCGUGUAUGAAGAAGGCCUUCGGGUUGUAAAAUACUGUUGUUAGGGAAGAACGGCAUCUGUGUAAAUAAUGCAGGUGAUUGACGGUACCUAACGAGGAAGCCCCGGCUAACUACGUGCCAGCAGCCGCGGUAAUACGUAGGGGGCAAGCGUUGUCCGGAAUCAUUGGGCGUAAAGGGCGCGUAGGCGGCAAUAUAAGUCUGAUGUGAAAGUGCGGAGCUUAACU
rnacentral:rRNA from 1 species